UGCCGAACUCAGCAGUGAAACCGCUCAGCGCCGAUGGUAGUGUGGGGCCUCCCCAUGCGAGAGUAGGUCAUCGUCAGGC
rnacentral:rRNA from 1 species